rnacentral:rRNA from 1 species
UACGUAGGGCGCAAGCGUUGUCCGGAAUUAUUUGGCGUAAAGAGCUCGUAGGCGGCUUGUCACGUCGGGUGUGAAAGCCCGGGGCUUAACCCCGGGUCUGCAUUCGAUACGGGCAGGCUAGAGUGUGGUAGGGGAGAUCGGAAUUCCUGGUGUAGCGGUGAAAUGCGCAGAUAUCAGGAGGAACACCCGUGGCGAAGGCGGCUCUCUGGGACGGUACUGACGCUGAGACGCGAAAGCGUGGGGAGCGAACAGG